rnacentral:rRNA from 1 species
GCUUAUGGCCAUACCACCCUGCCUGUGCCUGAUCUCAUCUGAUCUCAGAAGCUAAGCAGGGUUGGGUCUGGUUAGUACAUGGAUGGGAGACUGCCUUGGAAUACCAGGUGCUGUAAGCU